ensembl:lncRNA
AUGGGGGACCAUGAGACUGUCAUCGAAAGGGAUGAGCAGAGAGAAAUUGAACAGAAGUUUGAGGAACUCUUGUUGGAUUACCAGAUCAGUGAAAAUGAAAGCCUGCAAGAUGUCACAUUUGAAGACAGGAUGAGAAACCUCCAGACUGAGCUGACAGUCCAAUACUUUAGAGAGAAGCACCUCUCCCUUUGGCCUCUUUUUACCUUAGAGAAUGCCAUCAUGUAUGAAGAUCUCUCUCUAACUGAGAGGUUCUGUAUCCUUAAGGCCGUGACAGAGGUAACACUGGCAGGCAACCCGGAUGCCGUCAAUGGGGAUGUCCACCAACUUGAGUGUGCCAAGAGGUAUAACUUCCACCUUAGUCUUCUUGAGCAUCUGAAUGGUUCAAAUUCCACUCUGGCAGGUAAACUUCUUUUGGCUUUUUUUGACACAUUUUCAGAUGUGUCUCAGACCAGCAGGGAGCUCCUUAGUCAAAUUCUCUUCAGUAACAUCUGGACACCUGUAGAAAUCCUGCUCUUUCUUCGUGGGGUUGGUUCCAUGGACCAGAAGAAAACAGAUGCAAUCCUUCAUACAGUGCAGACCUACAGGCUGGAUCUUCUCUCCACACUCUCUGCCCUUAGAAGUAAUGAUCCCAAUAAGACUCUGCAAGGUUAUGCAGAAGAAGAAACUGACAAAGAUAUUGACACCAUUUUGAGUGAGAUGCGGGAUGCAAAUUACCCCGAAAAGUUACUCUCUAUAAUGGAGACUGUCUUAGGACAUAUAGAAGAGAAGCUUUCAAAAGAUCCCAUGGUAGACACACAGAAGAAACUGAGCAAGAGAGAAAAAAUGGAAAUGAUCAAAGACUUCAAGAACAAAAUUAAAUUGUUGAAUUUUGCUGAGGCAGACAACACUAUCCUCAAGGAAGUUCUUAUUACAAUGUGUAUUGCUGUUAAAGACUGCACAGCCGUUUCCACUCAAAGUGGAGAGCAAAUCAAGGGAUAUUUUCCCAGACUCACCCAGCUGGCAUCAUUAGUCAUGCUCCUUCUACCAAAGGCAACAUCAGAUAAAGGAUGCCUCUUAGAAAUUGGCACAGGAGAAGGAAAGUCUUGCAUUCUAGCUAUGUUUGCAGCAAUCCAGGCCAUCAGAGGGGCCACAGUCGACAUUGUGACCAGUUCUCCAAUCCUUGCACGACGGGACGAAGAGGAGUGGAGAAAACUUUUUGACAUGUUUGAUAUCACAUCCUCCGUUGUGCCUCCACCGUUGAUGAAGGAGAGCAGCCUUAAAAGCUGUGACAAAAUACUACAGGACGCUUACAAAAGACAGAUUGUGUAUGGAACUGUAAGUGACUUUGCAGCAGACACUUUGAGGCAGGAAUUUGAGAAAAACACCACUCGUGGGGAGAGGAAGUUUGACUUAGUGAUUGUGGAUGAAGUAGAUUACAUGACCUUGGACAGUGGAGUGCAGGUGACCUUCCUGUCUCAUGAAGCCAGCGGCCUUAGGCACGUUGAGCAAGUCCUUGCUAGCAUUUGGUGCAUGAUAUCCGUGUGUCGGCCUAUUCGAAUGGAAGAAACGGGGGAGACUGAGUGGAUAACUGGGAUACAGCAUUUUCACAAGGCUGCAAAGAUGGCUGUUAUGGGCUCAGACAGAUCUGAACACUUUUCUGAAUUUAAUAUUCUGCAAACAGGGUUGCAGUUUGGAUUUUACACACAGGAAGACAUUGAUACAUUGAUGCAGAGUGAAAGUGAGGCACAAAGAGAUGGUAAAGCUGAUGAUUUUCAAGAUGAGAAUUGGAAAGCUAUUGAGGUGUUCAUGACUAAAAUUGGAGUGGAACAACAAUAUGAUCUGCUCAGUAUUCUUGAGACGGCAUUAGAUCAAACUGUUUUCAUCGACUGUUACACAUUAACAAAUAAUAAAGCCACAUCAAUUGGAGAGAAAAAAAGGGACAGUGACAUGAAAAUCAAAAUGCUUCUCCUCAACAAUGGACGAGCUAGUGAAAUAAUGUCUGAAAAAUCACUAAUUGAUGCAGUUGUUCUUGAGAUACAAUCUAAAAUCAUAUAUUCUGACCAAUGUCAGCCAAACUCAGAGGAAACCGAUAACUAUAUUGUGAUCCCCUUCUUCCUUAAGAAGUACAUUGAGAAUCGGAUGCCAGUCUUUGUGGGAAAUGCCUUAAAAGCUAUUGCAAUGAAACAAGGCAGAGAGUACAUGAUUGGCAUGUCUUCUGACGCUAAUCCAAGCACUGUCAGUGAGUCUGACAAACAUUUCUACCAUGCCAUCAUCCCAGUGGACUACCAGGCCAGUGGAGUACUGGAAAAGAACAAACGCUGGGGUGACGGCCUUCAACAGUUUCUAGAGAUGAAGCACCAGUUGGCCAUAUCAUCGCUAUCCAAUGUUACAAAUUAUAUGUCAAAUAUCCAUUACUUUAAAAGAUACCUUAAAGGGAGUGGCAUAUUUGGUGUUUCUGGAACAUUAGGUGGAAAUGCAGACAAACACUUCUUGAAAAGCCAUUACAAAUCAGACAGCUAUACGAUACCUUCUCACAGGCACAAUAAGGUAGUUGAACUCCCCGCUCUUCAGGUAAGCGGUGAUGACUUAAAAUGGAUAGAGGUAGUCUGUGAAAGUGCAUUGAAAGCUGCCGACAGGAACCAGGUCGUCUUGGUGGUUUGUGAGGAUGUUAAGACAGCAAAUGAAUUACAGGUGGCAAUGGCCAACCGAAGAGCAAAUCAACGACAUCCAAUCACCAUGUACACAAUCAGUGAGAGAGACAACAUUGAGCAAACCACAUUCAGUGGGGGAAGCAUCAUUAUCGCCACCAAUCUGGGAGGACGUGGCACAGACAUUAGAUUGGAGCAGAAAGUGAAUCAAUGCGGCGGACUCUUUGUCCUUCUCACGCACUUUCCUGACAAUCGCAGAGUGGAGAAACAGGUGUUUGGACGCACAGCCAGAAAAGGAAAUUCCGGCAUGGUACAAAUGAUACUCCAUUGUGACCAACUGGCACCAGCGUACCAGGGCCAGCCUGUGGAGAUCAUGAGGCAGCUAAGAGAGGAUCAUGAAAUCCAACGCAUCACUGGUAUGGAGACAAAUGAGCUGCAGGAAAUUGAAAGGAAGGAAAAAUUAUUUUCAACAGUUUGCCAAUUUCUUGACAAUUUUGACAGCAACUACUCAGAAAAAGAGAGAGAGAACCUGUUGACAAUAAAGGUGGAGGAACAUAGUUUCAGACGUCAAGGCGAUAAGCUUGAUUACCAGCCAGCACUCAAUGCUCUGAAAGAAUCCUGGGCAUUGUGGUUGACCCUUCAUGAGACCCAUAUCGAGAAGGAUGAUGAUAUCUCUGACUUGGAAGCAGACUUACUUCAACAAUUGACAAACACAAGGAACAUGAUGUUGAAAGGACAAAGCCGAAAUUUCUAUGACCAUCUGAAGCAGGCUGUUGUUAGAACCAACCUGCACUGCCGUGAUAAAACCAAGUGGGACUAUGAUGCAAAAUCUUCCUGGCAGAAAGCUGCAAAAUGUGACCCCUUUUACAGAGCAGUGGCGCUAUACAACCAAGCUUACAUCACAAUUAACCUGGCAGAGAGUGACCAUAAAACAGAGGCUAGUAAAUUACUGCAGGAAGCAAAAGACACACUAGGUAUCUAUAUCUCUGAAACAACAAACACUUUGAAUGCAUGUCAGAUGGCAAUGAGGGGCAACUUUGAGCCACAUCAUGAUGGUGUCUGCAAUUUCCAAAGUCAGAUGCAAUCUAGGAUGAAUAUUUUCCAAGCAUGGCUGGGAUACAUUAACAGUACACUGAAAAAACUUGCAGAGCUAAAGAACAGUAAAAGUAGCGCCAUAACAGAGGAUUCCUCAGUGUAUGCACUCUCAGACGGGACAGACUAUGUCACCACAAAUGAACUCAUGGGCCUGUAUGAGUACGGCCUUGGCAUGGUGUUCGAAGUAAAAGAGAAGCCAAGGUUCAACAUUGAUGCUCUUGUGUGUUUUUUACUGGGUGCAUGUCAGGUUCUGGCUGGAGUUCUUGUUUGUGCUCUGUCCUAUGGCUCCGCCUCCCAGUUUGGUCUUGCCUUGAUCUCAGAGGGAGUGUCUGACAUGAUCAGUGGGUGUGAUGGCAUGAUAACUGGCAGUUUCAGUUGGGCAUCGUGGGCCAUCUCCAAAAGCAUCGGUAUUGGGAUAUCUUUGCUCACUUCUGGAUUUGGCACCAUCAAGAGAGCUGUCCAGUCUGUAUAUAAAGCCACAAAAGGCUUGCUAACAGGUACAGUGAAGAAGCUGGGCACGAAAACUGUAGUCAAACAGACUUUCAAACAUGCAACCAAGUAUGCAGGACAGGAAAUGGCUAAGCAGAUAGUUACCCACACAUUGCAUUACUUCAUUGAUGCAGGGCUUCAAGCUGUACUGAAGGAGAUUUUGAACAAGGCUUUCAAGGAUUCAAUCACCUCUGUAGUUAAAGAGAAUGAUGCAUUGAGUCACACUCUCACAGAGCUUGUAUGUGCUGGAGUUCCAAAAUCAGCUUUACAGAAACAAGCUGCUGAGUUCAAGAUAGACAGGGAGUGUGAAAAAAGUAUUAAAGAUUUAGUAAAAUCAGUGACAGAAAAAAUUAUUUCUGAUCUUAUGAUAGAUUGCAGCACAGUGCAUGAGAUCAUUGACAGAGUCUCUCAGGUGUGUAGCAAAGCGUCAGACCUUAUGGACAACGCAGGAGUGCCUGGAAAAGUCCAAACUGCUAUCUCUGCAAGCCUCUGCAUAGCAGAGUUCAGUACAGUGCUAGUCCAAAUGUUGAACUCUAUCCCUACAGAAAAAUGUAUCAAUGACAGAUUCUCUUCCAAGUUGAUAAAAGAAAUUCAUGCGCAACUGCCAAAUGGGUAUGACCAGGAUGGCAGACACAGACUCCUUGAUGUGGGACGCCUGAAGAAUGAGCUCCUCGAGGGCAUCUCAGAGAAUGUCUCCCAGGAAUUUAUUGAGUCCUGUGCCAGACACAUGAACUCCUUGAUAACACAUAUUUUUAAGGAAAAGAUCAAUAAAGUCACGAACGCCAUUGGCAAUACCACUAGCAACAUGCUUGGCAGGUACAAAACGGAAAACUAUUUCGUAGAGCAGAAGCAGAGGCAUGACAUGAAAUCAGCCAGUAAGCAUGCAGGGGAGUCUACAUGUGAGAUUGAACAGUCGGACCUCCAUCAUUACAUCAAUAACAUCAGUGAUAUUGACCGCCCUGCUUCAGAGCUGGACAUCUAUGUCCUUACAAAGAGUGACCUACUCCAGGGCCAAGGCAUCAGGGUCAAGGUAGUGGAUAAACAUGGGAAACCACUCGAUGAGCAAUCCUACCCAGGCACUGACUGCUCAGCAGGAUACAUCACACUCAAACUGACCAUGGAGCCAGAGACAGCUAAAAGUGAGAUGGGUCUGUUAUCUCACAUACAAGACCGAAUCCAAGGUGUUCAAACUGCGUACAGCGGCCAUUUUACCAUUGUUCAACCAGAUGGAUGUGAGACCAGGGUGAUGUCAGAGGGCCAGAAUUGCAUGUACCAUGCCUUAAUCCAGGCAACAUCCAGAAGCCAGGAGCAGGACAUCAAAGAACAGGCAAGGAUUCUGCGCAAAAAAGUACAAAGCGAGGUUCAGGAAAACCUCCCAACCUACUGUGAGUUAGUAAAACUCCAGAAGCGCUAUGAUAAUGUUAUGGAUCCUGGAAAAUAUUCCAUAUUGGGAGGGGUAAGGCCAGAAAAGAAGAUUAUCAGCCAGGACUACAGGGAUGCCAUCGCACCUAUGACGGAAACCGACUAUAUCAUUGCCCAGCUUUACGACCUUGGUUAUGUUGCCACAUACAAAGAUGUAAGAAACACCAUAUUGUCUGGAAGGUACGCUGUGGAAGCCGACCACAUCAUACCAAAGGACACAUUAAGGAAGGCACUAGUACACCGUGACUUGGAAAAACUCAAGAGUAAGAAUUCACAACUUUAUGCUCUAGUAACAAGUAUUCAAUCGGACCCAAAUGGAAGAUGCCACCUUGUCAUGCAGGUUCUCUACCAACAUCACCGCACUGCCUUGACAACUGGCAAUUGCAUGGAGGCCAAACUGUGCAGGGCACUGCUGGCUGACACACUCGUAAGUGGGAAUGCUGAGAAGAUGCUGAAGCAGGCCAUGAUUAUGGCCAAUCCUGUGUCCUCCCAGAAGCUUAGGGAUUAUGCAGGCCUCAGAAACCGCUCGUCCAUUGGAAAACAUCAAGACUUUUCAGAAAAUGGGACGAACUGCUACUACAAAGCUGGGUUCAUGAAUGUGUUCAGUGAGUAUCUGAAAAUUGGCAUCAUUGACCAGAACCAGCAUACGAGGCUAAAGUCAUGGGCCAAAGAAAACAGGCACCAGGACACAAACACAGAGGAGUUUAGAGAGAUACAAAGAAUAGUCGAAGGACAACAAGGUGAGAAAUCGAGGAAACGGGUGAGAGGAAACAUGCUCGGACCACAGACACAUCAAAGCCCCUGACAAAGUGGGAACAUUCUCUCUCCCUGUAUCCUAUAGUCAUUUACACAGAAUUUAGAUCAUGCAUUUAAUUAUGUUUGUAAAGGAAAAUAAUGUAGACAUCAGCUGUAUAUUGAUGACCAAUGUAGGGUCUUUGUAAGCCCGAAUGUCACAUGCUGGAGAAUGGUGAAUGAUUUCUUAUGUUUCUUCAUGAGGGACUUGGUUUUCUAUCUGUUACAUAAAAAAGGAAAAGACCCGACUCUCUGUUCAAGUCAUAGGCCUCUCUCCCUCAUCAAUAUUGACAUGAAAUUGUACGCCAAGGUUCUAGCCAAACACCUUGAAACUAUUUUGCAAAAACUAGUUCAUCCUGGUUUGUCAAAUAUCGAUUGGCGUCAGACAAUUGGAGACGUCUCCUACGUAUAAUACAAAUUACACCUGAUAUACCAUCCUCCUGUGCAGUCCUGUCAAUUGAUGCAGAGAUGGCCUUUGACUGUCUCGGGUUGGGUCUACCUCUGGUAAACUAUGGAACAUAUGGGAUUUGUUUAUGACUAUGUUGAAGACACUGUAUAGUAACCCCUCUUUAAUGGUCUUGAGAGUGUGAUGGAAAUGUGAUACAUUUGCUUUUCUUAUAACUAAUUUCUGUGUUCUAUUCAUGUGCUGUUCUAUAAACCAAUUUCUGUGUUCAUGCAAGUGACUGACUGAACGAACCCUCACUAUCAGUAACUGCAAUUUAGCAGUACGUCCAGACCUUGUUUUGAGAAUGAAAGACGUCUCAGCUUAGAGAGAAGAAGCCUCGUGAGGUAUUCGUUAUGAACCAGUAUUGGUCGGUCAUGUGAAUGAAACAAAACACAAAUAAUUAAUUAAUUAUGCUAAAUCAUGCAAAUGUAACUUGUAUGUGUAUAGCCGUAUAUAAGACAACUGCUGGGACAGCCCAGGCAGAGCUUCUGACCGACGUUCACAAUGGUAUGCUGACAAAUAAACAUUGAUUAAUUUAAGAUUUACUUCGAGGGUCCCUGUGUAAAAUUCCACAACAAUGUGUAACCAGUGCUCCUCAGUUUUCCAUCAAACGGUGAUCUCAUCAAGGCUGUCCAGUGUCCAGUCUCCUAUUUGCCAUAUCACUGGCACCUUUUGGAAGAAAUAAAAAUGUCAAUCCUACUUCAAUCGAGUACAGGCUUAACUGAAUGACAGAGACAAAAUGCAAUCUAGAAUUUUAUUGAAUUGUUUGGGGUAGACCUCAUCUCUGAGGAAUGCUCCUUGGCAUCAGAUGCUGAUGACAGGUUACCUUAUGCUAGGGCAGUUGGCAUCAAAACCCCCCAAAAAUAAAUACGUUACUCACCAGGGAGAAGGGACACAUGGAGCAAUGGUUGGAUAUUAAGACACUGGUAAAUAGAUGUAAAAGAGAUGCAUGCAAAGACUAGAACAAAAGUGCAAUUAUACUGUAUACUGUAAUGUAAAGUAUUAUAUGAAAUGUUUGUUAAUUACAUCUAACCAACCACACAUGAUGUAAUGCAAUAUGUAUGAUUAACGUGAAACUACAGCUGAGCUUUGAACCCAAUAGUGCAGAUCUUCAACCAAAACAUAAUAUUAGAUAAAAUAAAUCUGAAUGAACAAAUAAAACAACAAUUACAUAUUUAAUUUAUUUCAUAAACAAAGUUAUGCAACACCUAAUGCCCCUGUGUGAAAAAGUAAUUGCCCCCUUACACUCAAAAACUGGUUGUGCCACCUUUAGCUGCAAUGACUGCAACCAAAUGCUUCCUGUAGUUGUUGAUCAGUCUCUUGUGUCGCUGUGGAGGUAUUUUGGCCCAUUCUUCCAUGCAUAAUUGCUUUAACUCAGUGACAUUUGUGGCUAUUCAAGCAUGAACUGCUCGUUUCAAGUCCUGCCACAACAUCUAAAUUGGGAUUAGGUCUGGUCUUUGACUUGGUCAUUCCAAAACGUCAAAUUUGUUGCUUUUUGACCAUUUUCAUGUAGACUUGAUUGUGUGUUUUGGAUCACUGUUUUGCUGCAUGACACAGCUGCGCUUCAGCUCACAGAUGGAUGGCCUGACAUUCUCCUGUAGAAUUCAUGGUUCCUUCUAUUAAGGCAAGUUGUUCAGGUCCUGAGGCAGCAAAGCAUCCCCAAACCAUCAUACUACCACAACCAUGCUUGACCGUUGGUAUGAGGUUCUUACUGUAAAAUACAGUGUUUGGUUUUUGCCAGACAUAAUGGGACCCAUGUCCAAAAAGUUAUGUCCAUAGAACAUUCUUCCAAGGUGCUUCCAAGUGUUUUUCCACUCAAUUGUCCAGUGUUGGUGAUCGCGUGCCACUGGAGCCGCAAUAGCCCAUCCGUGACAAGGACCGGCGAGUUGUGUGUUCCGAGAUGCCGUUCUGCACACAACUAUUGUAUUGCGCUGUUUUUGCCUGUUUGUGGCCCACCUGUUAGCUUGCACAAUUCUUGCCAUUCUCCUUUGACCUCAUCAACUAGUUGUUUUCGCCCACAGGACUGCCGCUGACUGGAUGGAUUUUGUUCAUCGCAGAAUUCUCGGUAAACCCUAGACACUGUCUUGCAUGAAAAGACCAGGAAGCAGGACGUUUCUGAGGUACUGGAACCGGCGCGCAUGGCACCGAUGAUGAUGAGGAUACCAUACUUAUGUUGGUUAGGUCAUUAGUUUUGCCCAUUCUAAGAUUCAAUCAAACAGUAACUGAAUGCCUUGAUGCCUGUCUUCCUGCUUUAUAUAGCAAGCCAACGCCAUGUGACUCACUGUCUUUAGGAGCUAACCAUUUUCUUGAACCAGGUGGUGUACCUAAUAAACUGACAAAGAGGCCUCCCAC